CGAAAUUCAAUGCCCAUCGAUACAAAAUGGCACUGCAAUUUGCUCUAAAUAUCUAAAAUGCCUUUUACUUUUGGAGCACAUAUUUUUUAUUUGAGUAUUUAAACUACAAGCAAAAUUCAUAGCAGUUUUCAUUGUGGGUCGCAUGAAUAUAUUUUGUUGAUUUUUGACAGCAAUUUAUUCAGAAAACUUGAACAAGAAAUUCAGACGAAUAAUGAAAUUGCAUUAAAUUUGUAUCGAACCAGAUUAGAAUGAAAAGUGGCAAAGGUUAAUUUUGAGGACAAGACAAAACCCACGUCAAGGUGACUGAGAGCAGAGAUUUAUGAGCGUGUGCGUGAAUACAAUUGUUAAGUUGGACAGGUGAUUUUAUAGAGGAACCCAGCUCAUUUUGAACGUCAUCGGAUGAGGGCGGCGACGGCGUCGUCAGAGCGACAGGCAAACACCUGCUGCAAUCAUAAUAUUCAGGCCACAAGCAUUGGGAAUAGCCAGACGUUAAAUGCUCGAGCCACGCACACACACACACACAGACAGAGAGAGAGAGUGAGAGAGAGAGAGAGAGAGAGAGGUUUACUUGCUGUAUUUACGUAGCUGCUCAAUGUGGGUCAUCUCAUAAAUUAGAGGCUGCAGUCCGCUGAGUACACUGAGUUUUUAUGAAGCUUGCAGCGAAAACACACACACACACACAUUUAUGCACGCCCACACACAUACACACACACAAAGAUUAGCCAAGGGACACAAUGAGUGCAAUUCCACGCUCCACGUUCCACUGCUCGCAUUUACAAUUCAAGUAGCUGCCAUCACUUAAGGUUAGCCACUCGAUUGGCAUAAUAAAACGAUAUAAAUAUAUAUAUAUGUAUACAUA